ACUUUUCGCGGCAUUUGAACUAUUCGCUAAGCAAAACAUCUUUUGGCAAGCCAAGCGUCCAUAGCGACGUUGCUUUUUGAUCCUUCGAUGUUGGUUCUUCCCUAUCGUUGCGAAGCAGACUUUGCCAAGCGUUGGAUUGUUCACCACCAAUAAGAAAUGUAAGUUUGGUUUAGAUCGUCGUCAGACAGGUUAGUUUUACUAACGGUAAGCCGUGAUAUAUUGUUGCGAUAAUAAUCCUGUUCAGUACGAGAGGAACCGCAGGUUCAGACAUUUAGUUCAUGUGCUUGGCCGAUCAGCCAAUGCUACGAAGGAAUUUGAGGAAUUACGACUAAACGUCUCUAAGUUAGAAUCGCACGUAGACAAGGUAAUGACAAAUUUGCUCCCCGAUGUCCGGAAGCACUAUUCUGUAAUUAACGAUUUAUUCGUUUUAUUAUAGUUAAUGCCUCAUUAUAUGGUCUUGCUACUUAAUCGAAUGGUUAAGUGGUUGCCAAAACCGGAUUACAAUUCAAGGUGCAAAAUCACUUGCAGGCGAUUUGAUUAUUGGUCAAGGUUGUUAUUAGCAGUACAGCAACCUUCAUAUUGUGAUCUGUUGAGACUUAUCCUUUGAUUGGACGAUUU
rnacentral:ncRNA from 1 species